CGGCAACAGCUCAAAUUUGAAAUCUGGCUCUCAGGGCCCGAGUUGUAAUUUGUAGAGGAUGCUUUUGGCGAGGUGCCUUCCGAGUUCCCUGGAACGGGACGCCACAGAGGGUGAGAGCCCCGUAUGGUCGGACACCGAGCCUCUGUAAAGCUCCUUCGAC
rnacentral:rRNA from 1 species